CCAGAACAGGGUACAGUAGCAAGUAUUGCACAUAUUCGUGUCAAGAUGAUGUCACUAAAGAAAUCGUUCAUUUUGAAUUGGUUCAGGUUACAGAAGUGAGCAGUUCUGUGGCGAUGGAGGUGCUUGGGUUUCAACGGGGUCUGGACUACCCCCUUGAGAGGGGUGUCAGCAUUGGUGUCUUAACAACAGAUAGAUCAUCCUCCAUUCGUAAACUGAUGAAGGACAAUUACAGCCACAUUUAUUACGAGCUGGACCUAUUGCAUGUCUCUAAAAGUCUGAAGAAGAAACUUGUAAUGGUGGCGAACAAGAAGGAAAACAAAAUCCUGCAGCCAUGGAUCAGGUCCCUCCCAUGUACUGGUCAUGCAGCACCAGUAAAGGUGACAAGGAGGAAUGCCUAAGAUGGAAAUUGCUUCUCCAUCACAUCCAUGGCAUUCACAGGUGGGAGGAGGAGGAUGUUGAGCGUAGGUGUUACCAUCCAACACUGACAGCAGAGGAGCAGUGGUGGAAAAAGUGGCUCAGGACAGAUUCACCUGCUUUUCAAGAGUUGACUGGAUUGGUAAUGGACAAGAACCUCCUGCAGGACUUGAGACAAAUGUGUCUGUUCAAGCACGCCACAUGAGGGCUCGAGCACAACUGGCUGUUAUGGAUAACAACAACAAUCUUGGGAGACCACAAGCUAAAAC